UUACCGCAUCUUUCGUAUAGGUAUUGAAAUGACACUUAUUGAGACAAGCGUCUGGAAGUCCCCGUUGUUCGCAACAUUGUCGGAAGAUGAAGUUGGGAUUCUG
ensembl:ncRNA ZK1010.11 ncRNA